CGGUGAGAACUCCAAGAUGCUCGAGAAUUUCUGGUGAUAGUCUGCAGAUCUGAACAGCAACAGAUAUCACUCUUACUACAAGGAAAGUGAGUCGAUGUAUGAAAAUGGAACAUCUCUACCUGCAAACAGGAACAGGAACCAAGAAGCAGGAUUAGAGACUUUUGGAAAGCUCUCAGCAUACUGCCAUUCACUAAUAAGAGUAAUAAAAACUGAGAAGGUUUUACUAAGUAUCAGGAACUCAUCUGUUUUCCCCCCUAGUUAAAAUGAGGGAUGGAAGCUCAGAGAGAAAUAACCUGCCAAGACUUGAACGCAGGUCCCCUGAUGCAGUACUUUCCUGCCUGAUAGUAUCUGUCACAUUCAAACUUUGUUUCUCAGGACAAGAGGGGUGAGGAAAGGGAGCUCCUCAAGAGGUAAUGGAUAGUUUUAUUG